rnacentral:rRNA from 1 species
AACGAACGCUGGCGGCAGGCUUAACACAUGCAAGUCGAACGCUCGUAGCAAUACGGGAGUGGCGGACGGGUGAGUAACGCGUGGGAACGUGCCCUGAGGUACGGAAUAACUGCGGGAAACUGCAGCUAAUACCGUAUGAGCCCCGUGAGGGGAAAGAUUUAUCGCCUUAGGAGCGGCCCGCGUCGGAUUAGCUAGUUGGUGGGGUAACGGCUUACCAAGGCUUCGAUCCGUAGCUGGUCUGAGAGGACGAUCAGCCACACUGGGACUGAGACACGGCCCAGACUCCUACGGGAGGCAGCAGUGGGGAAUCUUGCGCAAUGGGGGCAACCCUGACGCAGCCAUGCCGCGUGAAUGAUGAAGGCCUUAGGGUUGUAAAGUUCUUUUGCCCGUGACGAUGAUGACGGUAACGGGAGAAUAAGCUCCGGCUAACUUCGUG